ensembl:lncRNA
GAGAAAAUAAAUAUACUAUCAAGGCAGGCACACUUUUAAGAUAGCCAGAAUCACAUUCCAGGCAAGAAAAAUAGGGAAUAUGUAAGAAAAUUGUUGGAAACAUGAUUGUAAGAUGAACCACUCAUUAUAAAGUGCCCCUAAGUUUAGUCUUAAGGGGAAUUAAAACAUGUUUGGUCUCUUAACAUUCCCCUCAGUUUGACUUAACUUUAGAAUCUAGGCCCCUGACCUCCCUUUUCUUAGAGCAUUUACUUGAGAAAUCUUGUAAUUAUAACUGCAGUCUCUAGAAGUAACUGGUUUUUAAAAGCCUCUUGUCAGUUUUACAACCAGGAAUGUCUUUCUCAAGGACCUGAGAGUCAUUCCUUUGAAAUGUAAUCAUCAUGGAAGAUUGCACUCUGAUCUCCCAGUCUCUAUGGAAAGUAGGAUAUUAACUUUGGUGGACAUCUUCCUUCAAGUUGUGACACUACCCCUUGUCAUGAAGAUAGGAGAAAGUUGACUUUUCCUUUGGCUAAGGUCAACUAGCAAACACAGAUGGCCUGCAUUCCUUCACCCCAGCUCUUAAAAACUCCUGCCCUUUGUUUCAGUGGAGCUGGUAUUCAGAAUUGGUCUUGCUGUCUCUCCUAUUGCUGGAAACAGGGUUGGAAGCAAUCAGCUUCUGUCUUCAUCUUCUUCAGUUCAAUUUUCUUCUUUAGCAGGUAUUAUCUUCUGUUUCUGUUGCAUCUGUUCUGGAUGUCUCUGAUCCACCAUGACCUCCAGUUGACUGAUCCAUAGUCUACAUAUCCAUUCUUCCAAUGGUAAGGCCCUCACUCACAUCUAUUUCCUACCUUUCUUGUAGACAGAGUAAAUUUAUAAAACUCAACAUGCUUGGCCUGGAUGUGCAGAACUCUAUAAUAUUGCUAUGGUUCAAGCUAGUCCAAAAAGUAUCUCAAGCAACCAUUGAUAACCUGAGACAUUUACCAUCUUGCUUAUCUGUGUCCUGAGACUCAUAAGUCAUGGCAUGUUCAGCUCUGAGAUACCUCCAAACUUAUCUGGUGUCUCCAGAGACAUUUAUUCUCCCUAGACAAAGCUAAAAGCAUAUAGCAAAGACUAAAUCUCUUUCCAAAGACCCAGCAACCACUAAACAGAAUGCACUUUUCCUCUAGUCUCUUUCCUGCCUUGUAGUUGAACCCAUCUCCAAAAAUGGCUCCUGGGGAGAAAUCAUAAAGCAGGUUGUCUGCAAUCCAUAAUCUCCCUGGUGGCAGGAGGAAGGAGAUAGGGAAGACACCCUGAGAAACUAAGAAGUUCCUUUAGCCAAAUCUCCUUGUAAUCAUGCUGAUGACAGUUCUGGUACACAAACUAACGAUAUUCACUCUCAAGAGAGUCCAUAUCUGUGAAAAUAUUUUAGCAUGCUAUACUUGAUUUGUCUAGGAAUGUUUGUACUAAACAAACAUGGCGUCUAUGAAUUUAUAGCACAUGUCUCUCUGGAAAAUGUCAGAUAAACUAUGCAACCAUCUGGGAACGUGACAAUGUAUCAUAGCAAAAUGGUCCUCUUCUGUGUCAUUUAUGUAACCAUGAAUAUCACACAGAGUCCCAUAUAGUAAUCUGAGCCGGAGCACAUCCUGACUGACAAGAAGUCACCCAGGCAACUACAUUGAAGGUUCUGGUCUCUCACUUUCACCUAUGCUUCAUGGUUACUUAUCUUCCUGAAAUUAUUGGUAAAGUUUGCUAUUAGGUAAGAUUUCUUAUUUGAGUGAGUCUGAUUUGACAGUACAGUCCUUUGUGUUAUCUCAAUCCAUUACCAUCUUCUCUCACUGGUAUAAACCCUAGGUUCUGAGUCAUCCAGAUCUGGUCUUUGGCAUUUUUAAAUAAGAUUAUAGAUUUCACUAAAAUGCUUUUCUCUUUAAAGCACCUCAGUCUUACAAUUAAAAGUGGGAAUAUCCGUGACUAUUGUAUGCUUGAGGCCGUGGACAUAAAAGACCCUUAUUGAUUCUUGAAUGAUGAUGACAACAGUAAGGAUAAUGAGAAUAUUGAAAAUACAUAAUCCAAUAUUAAGAUAUGAACUACUGCUUUUAUUUGAGAUGUUUGCUGUGGCAGCACCACAUCAUCUUUGGUACAUUACAGUCACAAGUUUGUUACUCUUCUCUCCUGAAAUCUUAAAUGAAAUGAGUACUUAACUAUUUUAGCUAGAUGCCAAGGAAUUAUUAAUAAAAAUUACAUUGAUAAUUUUUGUUAAUAAUAG